UGGGGGGAACCCUGAUCCAGCGAUGCCGCGUGAGUGAAGAAGGCCUUCGGGUCGUAAAGCUCUUUAGGUUGGGAAGAAGGGUGUAUGGGGAUAAUCCAUGCACUUUGACGGUACCGACAGAAUAAGCACCGGCAAACUCUGUGCCAGCAGCCGCGGUAAUACAGAGGGUGCGAGCGUUAAUCGGAGUUACUGGGCGUAAAGGGCGCGUAGGCGGUGAGAUGUGUGUGAUGUGAAAGCCCCGGGCUUAACCUGGGAAGUGCAUCGCAAACUAUCUGACUGGAGUAUAUGAGAGGGUGGCGGAAUUUCCGGUGUAGCGGUGAAAUGCGUAGAGAUCGGAAGGAACGUCAAUGGCGAAGGCAGCCACCUGGCAUAAUACUGACGCUGAGGCGCGAAAGCGUGGGGAGCGAACAGGAUUAGAUACCCUGGUAGUCCACGCUGUAAACGAUGAGGACUAGAUGUUGGUAGGGGAACCUAUCAGUAUCGAAGCUAACGCGAUAAGUCUUCCGCCUGGGAAGUACGGCCGCAAGGUUGAAACUCAAAGGAAUUGACGGGGGCCCGCACAAGCGGUGGAGCAUGUGGUUUAAUUCGAUGCAACGGAGAACCUUACCUACUCUUGACAUCCUGCGAAUCCCGAAGAGAUUU
rnacentral:rRNA from 1 species